AAGAUUAAGCCCCGGAAUUCAAGCUUGCUUGUCUCAAAGAUUAAUCCCCGGAAUUCACAUGGAAACCAUCCCCUUCUGGGGUAGUAUUUAUUAGAUGGAAACCAACCCCUUUGGGGGGAUGUGCUGAUUCAUAAUAAGCUUGCGAAUGCCAUGGGCAACCGGGAAGGGAUGGUUCAGGUUUCCGCCGUAUCAGCUUUGGAAGGGAGGGUAUUGGCCUACCAUGGCUUUGGGAGGUAACGGGAAAUUAGGGUUUGAUUCCGGAGGGGGAGCGUGAGAGACUGCUACCACCUCCACGGAAGGCGGCAGGGACGUAAAUUACCCAAUCCUGACCCUAGGAGGUAGGGACAAUAAAAAACAAUGCCGGGCCCUAUCGGGUCUGGCAAUUGGAAUGAGAACAAUUUGGAACCCUUAUCCAGGAUCAAUUGGAGGGCAAGUCUGGUGCCAGCAGCCGCGGUAAUUCCAGCUCCAAUAGCGUAUAUUAAAGUUGUUCCUGUUAAACAGCUCGUAUGUGAAUUUCUGGUACCUCCUGAGGCCGGAUUCUGGUGCUAUUGGAAGAUGCCAUCCUUGGAUGCAAUC
rnacentral:rRNA from 1 species